GAUGAACGCUGGCGGCGUGCCUAAUACAUGCAAGUCGAGCGAAUGGAUUAAGAGCUUGCUCUUAAGAAGUUAGCGGCGGACGGGUGAGUAACACGUGGGUAACCUGCCCAUAAGACUGGGAUAACUCCGGGAAACCGGGGCUAAUACCGGAUAACAUUUUGAACCGCAUGGUUCGAAAUUGAAAGGCGGCUUCGGCUGUCACUUAUGGAUGGACCCGCGUCGCAUUAGCUAGUUGGGGAGGUAACGGCUCACCAAGGCAACGAUGCGUAGCCGACCUGAGAGGGUGAUCGGCCACACUGAGACUGAGACACGGCCCAGACUCCUACGGGAGGCAGCAGUAGGGAAUCUUCCGCAAUGGACGAAAGUCUGACGGAGCAACGCCGCGUGAGUGAUGAAGGCUUUCGGGUCGUAAAACUCUGUUGUUAGGGAAGAACAAGUGCUAGUUGAAUAAGCUGGCACCUUGACGGUACCUAACCAGAAAGCCACGGCUAACUACGUGCCAGCCGCCGCAGUAA
rnacentral:rRNA from 1 species